rnacentral:rRNA from 1 species
GCAACGCUUGGCGGCGUGUCUACACAUGCAUUGUCGAUCGGGGUUAACAAUACCCAGAUGGCUGUCUGGUGCGCUAUCACGUGAGGAACAUGUCUUUCGGUGGGGGAUAGCCGGCCCAACGGCCGGGUAAUACCGCAUACGCUGACUUGAGCUCCUGCUCGAGUUCGGAAAGCAGCAAUGCGCCGAUUGAGUGCCUCGCGGCCUAUCAGCUAGUUGGUGAGGUAAUGGCUCACCAAGGCGACGACGGGUAGCUGGUCUGAGAGGAUGGCCAGCCACAUUGGGACUGAGACACGGCCCAGACUCCUACGGGAGGCAGCAGUGGGGAAUAUUGCUCAAUGGGCGAAAGCCUGACGCAGCGACGCCGCGUGUGGGAUGACGGCCUUCCGGUUGUAAACCACUGUCGGGAGGGACGAAGAUCUGACGGUACCUCCAAAGGAAGCACCGGCUAACUCUGUGCCAGCAUCCGCGGUAAUACAGAGGGUGCGAGCGUUGUCCGGAAUCACUGGGCGUAAAAGGCGCGUACGCUGCCCGAUAAGUACAGGGUGAAAUCUUGCGGCUCAACCGCAAGGCUGCCUUCUAAACUGUCGGGCUGGAGCACAGGUACAGGCAAAAGG